UUCUAUCCCAGCCUCAACCGGUCCAAGUGCUGCGCCAAGGGGAUUUGCACCGAGUGCUUCCUCCAGAUGAAGUCGCCCACCUCCUGCCGGCCCACACAGUGUCCGUACUGCAAGAUGCUGAAUUACGCAGUGGAGUACCGCGGCGUCAAGACGAAAGAGGAGAAGGGCGUCGAGCAGAUUGAGGAGCAGAGGGUGAUCGAGGCCCAGAUCAGGAUGCGGCAUCAGGAGCUCCAGGACGACGCCGAGCGGCUCAAGAACAAGCAGGUUGCUGCUUCGACCGACGAAGUAACGACCGCGCGAGUUGAAUCUUGCGAUACCGGUGGCACAUCCACCCCAGCUGCAAGCGCUGCCCAAGGCAACGAUGUGGUCUCUGGUCAAGUACAGCAUUCGGAGCUGCUAUUGAAGAAUGCUGAACGCUUAAGGCAGUUGCGGGAUAAUAAUUUCGAUAUGGAUCUUGAAGAAGUUAUGCUUAUGGAAGCGAUUUGGCUUUCUGUGCAAGAUCAGGAAGCCUUAGGAAAUCCGGGGAGCAUAGGUGCCGUGCCACCAACACUUCCUCUAAGAUGCUACGAUGCGUCUGGGGCCGCUUCAGCAGAAGCAGCUCCACCUGGUGGAUUCGCCUGCGCGGUCGCGGCUCUAGCCGAGCAACAACACAUGCUUGGAGACCCUUCGAGCGCAGCCACCUGCCAAACAUCAAGACACGACAUUCUCAGCAGGUCACAAAGGUCCUUCACAGAGGACCUGAGCAUAGCCGGGAGCAGUUCCUCGGCCACCAGGGUCGAGGAACCAUCCAACGGCAGAACGCCGCAGGCAAGAGACGGCGCGGAUUACUCCAACAACGACGGGUGGUCGGAGGCGGCCGAGGCCAGCACCAGCUGCGCCGACGUCACGGUAGAGGCCGGGGCCGCCAGUCUGGCGGCUGCUGCUUCGGACGUGUCGAGCAUCAGUUCGGGCAACGUCCCCGACAGCUUUGAGGAGCAGAUGAUGCUGGCCAUGGCGCUCUCGCUGGUCGACGCUCGGGGGGUCGGAGGCUCUCCUCCAGGGAUCGCUUGGCGGUAG
rnacentral:rRNA from 1 species